rnacentral:rRNA from 1 species
UGGGGAAUAUUGGACAAUGGGGGAAACCCUGAUCCAGCAAUGCCGCGUGUGUGAUGAAGGCCUUCGGGUUGUAAAGCACUUUUGUCAGGGACGAUGAUGACGGUACCUGACGAAUAAGCUCCGGCUAACUUCGUGCCAGCAGCCGCGGUAAUACGAAGGGAGCUAGCGUUGUUCGGAAUUACUGGGCGUAAAGGGCGUGUAGGCGGUACCAUAAGUCAGAUGUGAAAGCCCUAGGCUUAACCUAGGAGGUGCAUUUGAUACUGUGGAACUAGAGAUCGAGAGAGGAAAGUGGAAUUACGAGUGUAGAGGUGAAAUUCGUAGAUAUUCGUAAGAACACCAGUGGCGAAGGCGACUUUCUGGCUCGAUACUGACGCUAAGGCGCGAAAGCGUGGGGAGCAAACA